CAGCUGACGAGUCCCAAAUAGGACGAAACGCGCGUCCUGGAU
rfam:Schistosoma rodhaini strain Burundi genome assembly, scaffold: SROB_scaffold0013449